rnacentral:rRNA from 1 species
UACGUAGGGGGCAAGCGUUGUCCGGAUUCAUUGGGCGUAAAGAGCGUGUAGGCGGCCAGGUAGGUCGGUUGUGAAAACUGGAGGCUCAACCUUCAGAGGUCGACCGAAACCAUCUGGCUAGAGUCCGGGAGAGGAGAGUGGAAUUCCUGGUGUAGCGGUGAAAUGCGCAGAUAUCAGGAGGAACACCAGUGGCGAAAGCGGCUUCCUGGUCCAGCACCGACGUUCAGGCACGAAAGCGUGGGGAGCAAACAGG